CCAGGAAAAACACUUGGUUGGCAGAUGU
rnacentral:sRNA from 1 species